rnacentral:lncRNA from 10 species
GUUUGGGACCAUGAGACCUCCCACUCCUGGGGCCAGAAGGAGUUGCUGAGAAGGAGCUGUGGUUCUGACCUUCAGGGGAAUUCCCACGUCUGUAUGGUGGCUCGUGAAGAGCAUGGUUCCUUUUCUCAGCCCUCUUGAGGGGCGAGGAUGCUUCCCACUUUUGUGGUCCACCUGCAGGCCGCCUUUCAUCCUUCUUCAAGUCACAGAGAGACAGAGAGGAGGGGACGAAGGACGAGCCAUGGGGUUUUGAAAGCAGGCACAGCAGCAGGGGUGCUGCCUCCAGGGGUCUGCUCUGCCAAGAGUUCCUGUCCCAGGUGUCUACAAAAACAGUCAAACUCUAUAAAAUACUUGGAGAUUUAUUCUGAGCCAAAUAUGAGUGACCAAUAGCCCGUGACACAGACCUCAGGAGAUCCUGCCCAAGGUGGUCAGGUUACAGUUUGGUUUUAUAUAUAUUAGGGAGAUACAAGAAAUAAAUCAAUACAUAGAAAAUGUACGUUGGUUUGGUCCGGGAAGGCAGGACAACUCAAAGCAGAGGCUUCAAGUCAUAGAUACAUUCAAAGAUUUUCUGAUUGACAAUUGGUUGAAAAAGUUGUAUUAUCAUCUAAAGACCUAGAAUCAACAGAAGAGAAUGUCUGGGUUAAGAUGAGAGGUUGUGGAGACCAGGGUUCCCAUUAUGCAGAGGAAGCCCCAGGUAGCAGGCUUCAGAGAGAAUAGGUUGUAAAUGUUUCUUAUCAGAAUUAAUUCUCUCCUGGAGCACGAAAAGGAAGGGGAUUCUCUUCGAAAUAUAGAUUUUCCCCACAAGAGACAGCUUUGCAGGACUAUUUUGAGAUACAGCAAAUAAACAUAACUUGGGGCAAAAUACUUUGAUUUUUUUUUUUCAGGGCCUGCUCUCUGUCAUGUGAUGCUAUACUACAGCCAGGCUGGAAUUUGGUGUCUUAUUGCUACAAAGAAUCAGCUUUGUCAAUCCUAAGGUCACUGAGAGGCUGCCAGAGGGCCAUUUUCAUGACCAGAGGGAUCUGUUCAACACCCUGUGGGUCCCAGCACCUAUCUCAGGAAGCAGGGUGCAUCUGUCCACCACCAAGUCUCAGGGUGGCUGGGUGAGCGCUCAUCAGUCCCAGACAGCAGGUUGGCACAAAACGACACUGCCCACAAAACCACAGGAAGAAGAGAAACUCCGACUGUCUUUCAGCACACAGAAGACACUGUACUGGACCCGGACAUUAGGCAGACACCCACGCCUGACUUUCAGGAGAAAAGAGAACAUGACUAACGGAUAUUCUUAGUAGAUGGUUUAUUAGAAAAGAGAACAUCUUCCAGCAUGUGUCCUGGGGUGAUGGGUGUGGGAAGCACUCAGUCCAUAGUCCUGGUCCCUGGCUUCCCCAAGCCCAGCACCAUGAAUGUACAGUGGAAAGCAGAGGGUGCAGCGUCUCAGAAAGAUGCUUCCACUCACAAGGAUUGGAGCUCACAAGUGAGCUCCAUAACCUGCAAACCAGAGAAACCUGAGACACUGCCCCUUGGCCAUUUUAUCAACGGAGACUUUAUUGUGAUUAUCCCGGCAGGGGGCCGAGCUCUCCUCUCUGCAACAGGAAAUGCUCUUUAGUGAAAAUGCAGCAUUUCUCCAAGGGUAACAAAGCUGAACGCCUGCUUAGCUUAUGAACCCUCAGUUGGCCUAGGUGGUGCAAAGACCCUGCUGUUACUGCUUUGAUCAUCAGUACUGUGGACUGUACCAGGAGAUCCCUGGGAAUGUGCUCUGGGCGGAAGCAGCUUUUAUCUUUGGCCCUCACCCAUGCUUUAUAUGGUGAGGUUGGGAAAAUGGCACAAGGCUUCUCCUGAACCUCAAAUCAACACCCUUGCCCCAUUUAGAUCCUAUCUGGCUGUUUCUUGCUAAUAUUACUGCAUCACUGCACCAUCUUUCCUAUUUCAGCAAAGUGGAGUCAUGUGUGGUUUAUGGGGUAGAUGGACCCCAAAACUGAUAAUAUGAAUCAAGCUAUGGUGUUUACUCCCUAGGAAAUGCACAAUUUUUCUGGAAACCUACAGAAGCUUCAAAUGCAUUCGCCAUGCAAAGCUAAGUCAGCAGAACAACCCGUUUGGCUUUGGAGGCUAGUUCAGUUCCGCGGACAGGGAGAAAGAUGAGGCAGACUGUGGUUUUUCAGUUCCUGGAGCUUACGGAGCUCCAAAGCUCCCUCUCUUCCCACCCUGGCUGCACUGUUCUUAAUUUUAGAUAAUACCCUGCCUUCUCGUAUUGCUGCUGAGCUCCUAGCAUCCUCAGUUUAUCUGUCUGUGAAAUGAAAAAUCUAAUGUUAAAUUUUUUACCUAUGGCAUGAGAGAGAUGGCUAUGGCUCUUGUGAGCCUCUCUGCAGCCCCUCUUUUCCUUCAAUCACCCUCUGUCUCUCCUGCCUUCUGCUUAUUCUCUCUCUCCCCUCAUCCCCACUUUCCCAGUGGGUCCUCUGUUCUCUUUUUUUUUUUCUUUUUAAAUCUCUCUAUGCCUCCAGCCGAGAAGAUAAAGAGUGUACAUCUUUCUGGUUAAAAAGUUUUGCUUUGCAGAAACACAGCCAAUUUAUGAUUCUGGCCUUCCCAGCUAGGGACAGUGUUCAUUUACAUUUAGGACCAUGAGGAGAGAGGCUUAGCUGUGUGUUUCUGAGGCCGGAGAAAAUUACAGUGAUAUAUAACAGUGCUGCACUCAUAGAGGUGCUGAGCCGGGGUUGGGCUCAGGCGGCCGCUAAGCUCAGAGUGGAAAGUUUCAGAGGGGAGGCAGAAAGGAGAGGUCUAUAGCUCCUCCAGAUUCUAGGUAUUAAUUUACUAAGAUAUUCCUAAGCCAGAAAACAGAGACAGAAGACAAAGAGAAAGAGGGAAGAAGAGCAAGACAGAGAGUUAGAGAGAGACAAAGAGAGAGAGUUAGAGACAAAGAGAGAGUGGAGAGGAGAGAGAGCAAAUAUUG